UUACUGCGAGAUCGAGCUGAAGGACAGGAUGGAUUUGUUUACCCCAGACAGGGCAAGGAAGAGAUUUCAUUCAUCCAAUGUUUCUAAAAGUGCCUUAUGGUCUGCUAAUGGAAGGGACAUUUUAUAUCUGGGUUUGUUUUUUUUUCUUUUGUUUUACACUUAUUUGUGAGGGCUCCUUUCCAAACACACGUAGUUUGGUCAGUUUGAGAGGAUCAGCCUUGCUGAGAAUGUAUUUACCCAUCCCUGAGAUGGGAAAGAUCAUCCCUUCAAGACUCAUGGCUCUUGCCUUCCCUGAAAGGCAUCAGUGCCUGCUGGGGAAGGGUUUUCCACCAGUUUAAAGGACCAGCAGGACAGAAUUUUCCCCUCGCAAGGGUGGCUGAUCUAAGCUGCUUUCUCUUCCAACAUUUUAAUCAAGAAAUCACCUGCCGAUAGAUCACAGCGUGAAUUGGCUUCCCCAUGAAAUUAGGACAGAGGGAAAUGCACACAAUUAAAAGGAGGAUUCCAACCAGCCCGGAGAGAUUCAAUGAAUAAUAAUGGACCUCCAGCUGCUAAUGUGCUUAAGAACUUCCAAGUCUCAAGUGUCUAACCAGCUUAAGGUUCCUGGUGAGGGAAAGGUCUCUGUUGUGCUGUGACCUGCAGUGCCUGCUCAUCUCCCACACCUUCCCUGCAGUAGGGUCAGAAGAUGUACCACAUGGAUGACAGCCAAAGCCACAUAAAAAUGUCCACCUGAAGAUUAUCAGAGGGUUUUUUUCCUAGCACUUCCCUUGGUUUUUUUCUCUCUCCCAUUAAUGCUUCUCUCUCCCUUUCACAAUCCAUUAACUUUCCCCCUGCAGUCUCCUUUCCUGGGCCCCCCUGACCAAGACAGCCUCCUCUCCUUGACCCUCUCAGCUUUCUACCCUGCUCAUAAAUUUCCACAGAGGAUCAAGGAAAAGACUUGCAGAGGGGGAAGAGCAAAAACAAUACAGAAAGUACUGUCCCAGCCUUGAGUUCUCCAUGAAGUUGUGUCCCCCUCCUCCCCAUCCAGAGGUUAUAGGGUAACUAUCACAGAUUUAGGGAGCAGCAGCUUCAGAGGCUAGCAACGAGAUGAUCAAAGGAACAAGGAAUGUUAGCUAGGUAUGGGCUCCUCAGCCUCGGAAAGGGAUAUGACAGAGAUCUGAGAAUCACAAGAGAAGCUGUUUCCAUCUCUCCUGGAGCAAGGACCGGGGGCAUCAGAGGAAACUCACCAGUUCAGAACAAACGAAAUGAGCUAUUUUUGUACCCAGCCUGUCUCCAUGCCAUGGGACUCCUCAGCAGAGGAACUGUGCCUGCCUGGAGCUCAGAAGAGCUCAUUAAAAAAAAAAAAAUCCGGAUUUUUCUAGCCGAGAGCUCAUGUGCAGAAGCUGUUACGAACAAACACAUCGUGUGUGGGUGAGGAGGUCCCUGAUCUACAAACCAGGGAAUACUUCAACAAUAUUCCUACAA